AUUGAACGCUGGCGGCAGGCCUAACACAUGCAAGUCGAGCGGGGUUUUCGGACCUAGCGGCGGACGGGUGAGUAAUGCGUAGGAAGCUACCCGAUAGAGGGGGAUACCAGUUGGAAACGACUGUUAAUACCGCAUAAUGUCUACGGACCAAAGUGUGGGACCUUCGGGCCACAUGCUAUCGGAUGCGCCUACGUGGGAUUAGCUAGUUGGUGAGGUAAUGGCUCACCAAGGCGACGAUCUCUAGCUGGUUUGAAAGGAUGAUCAGCCACACUGGAACUGAGACACGGUCCAGACUCCUACGGGAGGCAGCAGUGGGGAAUAUUGGACAAUGGGCGCAAGCCUGAUCCAGCCAUGCCGCGUGUGUGAAGAAGGCCUUCGGGUUGUAAAGCACUUUCAGUAGGGAGGAAGGGUUAAGUGUUAAUAGUACUUAACUUUGACGUUACCUACAGAAGAAGCACCGGUUAACUCUGUGCCAGCAGCCGCCGUAACAC
rnacentral:rRNA from 1 species